rnacentral:rRNA from 1 species
AGCAGUGGGGAAUAUUGCACAAUGGGCGAAAGCCUGAUGCAGCGACGCCGCGUGAGGGAUGACGGCCUUCGGGUUGUAAACCUCUUUCAGCAGGGACGAAGCGCAAGUGACGGUACCUGCAGAAGAAGCACCGGCUAACUACGUGCCAGCAGCCGCGGUAAUACGUAGGGUGCAAGCGUUGUCCGGAAUUACUGGGCGUAAAGAGUUCGUAGGCGGUUUGUCGCGUCGUUUGUGAAAACCAGCAGCUCAACUGCUGGCUUGCAGGCGAUACGGGCAGACUUGAGUGCUGCAGGGGAGACUGGAAUUCCUGGUGUAGCGGUGAAAUGCGCAGAUAUCAGGAGGAACACCGGUGGCGAAGGCGGGUCUCUGGGCAGUAACUGACGCUGAGGAACGAAAGCGUGGGUAGCGAACAGGAUUAGAUACCCUGGUAGUCCACGCCGUAAACGGUGGGCGCUAGGUGUGGGUUCCUUCCACGGAAUCCGUGCCGUAGCUAACGCAUUAAGCGCCCCGCCUGGGGAGUACGGCCGCAAGGCUAAAACUCAAAGGAAUUGACGGGGGCCCGCACAAGCGGCGGAGCAUGUGGAUUAAUUCGAUGCAACGCGAAGAACCUUACCUGGGUUUGACAUAUGCCGGAAAGCUGCAGAGAUGUGGCCCCCCUUGU